GGAAAGGACGUCACCAUCACUGAAAGUGGCACCACCUCCUCCAAUCAACAGGUGAAGAAAGGCACUCUAGGACAGGAAGUGGACUUCACAUACUGCUUUGGGCAAACAUGCAAGCUGUUAUUCAGUUUGGAAGGUGGCGACUUGGUGGAGACAAUAAAGGGUAAACACACCACACAGGUUGUACGGAAGGUCGAUGGGAACACAAUGACACAUGUUUUGACAGUCGGUGACGUGACAGCAUCGCGCACGUUUAAAAAGGCGUGAUUGGGCGGAUGUGAUGUGAAGAGAGUGGAGAGG